UUUACCUACGGGAGGCAGCAGUGAGGAAUAUUGGUCAAUGGCCGGAAGGCUGAACCAGCCAAGCCGCGUGAAGGACGAAGGUGCCAAGCAUUGUAAACUUCUUUUGUCAAGGGACAAAAUCAGGCUCGAGAGCCUGACCGAGGGUACUUGAAGAAAAAGCAUCGGCUAACUCCGUGCCAGCAGCCGCGGUAAUACGUAGGGGGCAAGCGUUAUCCGGAUUUACUGGGUGUAAAGGGAGCGUAGACGGCGAUGCAAGUCUGAAGUGAAAGGCGGGGGCCCAACCUCCGGACUGCUUUGGAAACUGG
rnacentral:rRNA from 1 species